rnacentral:lncRNA from 1 species
GCACAGCCGUGCGUUGGCCAUGCGUACUUGCACGGAAGAGGCACCGAGUAAGCACGGCGGUGCGUACUUUCCUCCUCAAACAACCACGCCAGCCAACUUGCAGCAGCGGCAAUCGGUACUCUUAACUGGAAUUUUCGAUUUCUAUGAAAUGGUUGAAGUUUCGAGUUCAUUGUUUGUGCAAAAUUUUGGAGAAAUUUUAUGAUCAUUCCUGAUUUGUUAAACGGCUAGAAGAGGAGAUGAUCGAUGCAGAUACUAUUUCUUCCUCUUCCCCACUUGAAUUUCUUGGACCUCUUCUUCCCAACCGUCAGAUCACAUCAAGUCAAUCUCCACCAUAAGGCUCUUGCACGCCUUCAAAGAUUCUUAAGCGUCCGUGCGAGUGUCAACGAGUCACAAGACUGUCCAAUCACCGAUGCAGAAGAUUUCUCUGCACCAAUGUUUGUGCAGCAUACAGAAGUAAUGCUGGUGGACAUGGCAGAACCAAAG